rnacentral:rRNA from 1 species
AUUGAACGCUGGCGGCAUGCCUUACACAUGCAAGUCGAACGGUAACGGGCCUUCGGGUGCCGACGAGUGGCGAACGGGUGCGUAAUACAUCGGAACGUGCCCGAUCGUGGGGGAUAACGAGGCGAAAGCUUUGCUAAUACCGCAUACGAUCUACGGAUGAAAGCAGGGGACCGCACGGCCUUGCGCGGACGGAGCGGCCGAUGGCAGAUUAGGUAGUUGGUGGGAUAAAAGCUUACCAAGCCGACGAUCUGUAGCUGGUCUGAGAGGAUGAUCAGCCACACUGGGACUGAGACACGGCCCAGACUCCUACGGGAGGCAGCAGUGGGGAAUUUUGGACAAUGGGCGCAAGCCUGAUCCAGCCAUGCCGCGUGCAGGAUGAAGGCCUUCGGGUUGUAAACUGCUUUUGUACGGAACGAAAAGCCUUCUUUUAAUACAGGAGGGUCAUGACGGUACCGUAAGAAUAAGCACCGGCUAACUACGUG